rnacentral:rRNA from 1 species
GGGGGGGGGGGGGGGGGGGCGGGGGGGGGGGGGGGCGAAGGGGGCGGGGCCCGUGGUGUGGGGGGGGUGGGGAGUGGCGGGCGGGUGAGUAGCACGUGAGGAACGGGCGCCUCACUUCGGGAUAACCGCUUGGAAGGGUGGCUAAUACGGGGUGUUCUGGACUGCCCGCAUGGGGGGGCGUGGAAAGAUUCGCUGGGUUGUGGUUGUUUGGGUGGGGGUUGGGCUCGCGGCGUAUCAGCUUGUUGGGGGGGUGAUGUCCUGCCAGGGCGUUGACGGGUAGCCAGCCUGAGAGGGUGGGCGGUCACACUGGGACUGAGACACGGCCCAGACUCCUACGGGAGGCAGCAGUGGUGAAUAUUGCACAAUGGGCGCAAGCCUGAUGCAGCGACGCCGCGUGAGGGAUGGAGGCCUUCGGGUUGUGAACCUCUUUCGCCAGUGAAGAAGGUCCUGCUCUUUGUGGUGGGGUUGACGGUAGCUGGGUUAAUGAAGCGCCGGCUAACUACGUG